CGGAGCGUAGCGCAGCCUGGUAGCGCACCUGAUUUGGGAUCAGGGGGUCGCAGGUUCGAAUCCUGCCGCUCCGACCA
rnacentral:tRNA from 3 species